GAAACCUUGAUAGCAGCUGAUUCAAUAGGUGAUCUCAAAGCUUCAAAAGCUGGAGUUUCUACUGUUCUUAAUGAUCUGAGACCAGCAGCAUUUGCAAGUAUCCUGAAUCCAUUGUCUGCAGUAGUAACAGCAAGCAGAUUUCCUUCCUUGUUGAAUCUCAGGCGGGGGAGACUCGGUAGUCCACCAUCAGCAUCUGUACUUGUAAGCACAUGGGCAUUAUCCAUAUCCCAAAACUUUAUCUGACUAUCUUCACCUGCAGCCAAAAAGUGGUUUUGUGUGGUGUCAAACUGCACUACACCCGUUGUUGAUUUCUUUCUAAAUCCAGCAUAAUGCCUCUUUAUUGCUCCUUCACUU
rnacentral:misc_RNA from 1 species